CGAGGAGGAGGCACCUGGCGUGGACGCUGGGCGAAUUUGCGAUUAGAGGCAAACCGCCGAGCGCUAGACCCUUGGCGCCGGGCGGUGGCGCGAUUAUGGGCAAACCGCCUGGCAGCAUAAGUGUGACGUCGGGUGGUUGUCUGCUGGGCUUGGGCCUGUUUUCUAGUGACGUUCCUCAGCUAUAAAUAGCCAUGUUACGAUUUCAUUCUCAUUCUUUUGGCAUAAGAGGGCGG
rnacentral:lncRNA from 1 species